rnacentral:rRNA from 1 species
AGCAAACGCUGGCGGCGUGCCUAAUACAUGCAAGUCGAACGGGGAAAGUAGCAAUACGAGUACUAGUGGCGCACGGGUGAGGAACACGUGGGUAAUCUGCCUUCGAGCGGGGGAUAACUAAUCGAAAGAUUGGCUAAUACCACAUAAGACCACAAGAUCUGCGGAUCUAGGGGUCAAAGCCGCAAGGCACUUGAAGAUGAGCCCGCGUAAGAUUAGCUAGUUGGUGAGGUAACGGCUCACCAAGGCGAUGAUCUUUAGCUGGUCUGAGAGGAUGAUCAGCCACACUGGAACUGAGACACGGUCCAGACUCCUACGGGAGGCAGCAGUAGGGAAUAUUGCGCAAUGGGGGCAACCCUGACGCAGCGACGCCGCGUGAGUGAUGAAGGCCUUCGGGUCGUAAAGCUCUGUUAUAUGGGAAUAAGAUCUGAAUGUACCAUGUGAGAAAGGAUCGGCUAACCUCGUGCCAGCCGCCGCGGUAA